UACGUAGGGUCCGGGCGUUGUCCGGAAUUAUUGGGCGUAAAGAGCUCGUAGGCGGUCUGUCGCGUCGGCUGUGAAAACACGGGGCUCAACUCCGUGCCUGCAGUCGAUACGGGCAGACUAGAGUUCGGUAGGGGAGACUGGAAUUCCUGGUGUAGCGGUGAAAUGCGCAGAUAUCAGGAAGAACACCAAUGGCGAAAGCAGCUCUCUGGGACGGUACUGACGCUGAGACGCGAAAGCGUGGGGAGCGAACAGG
rnacentral:rRNA from 1 species